AUGUAUACUUUUGUUGCAUUAAAAACAUGCACUCAAAGAACUGGAGUACAGGUCCAAAGUCUAAUCAAGUAUUUCAACGGAAAAAAAAAAAAAAAAAAAAAAAGACUGUGUCACAAAAGUAGGGUGACUACGUGUCUCUCAGCCCCGCCGGCGCCGGCGCACUGGGUCCGAGGGGCGGUGGUGACAGCAGCGGGACUCAGUGCCAUGGCGGCUGGCGGAGUGGAGGAGCGGGGAGGUUUGGAGGCCGCAGUGCGGGGUGGCCUCCGCAUCCUUAGGGAGCGAUGGAUGCGGGGGACCCGUGAACGCAGCGGUACCGCAGCGUUUGCGGGUCCCCCACGUCCAUCGCUCCCGGAGGAUGUGGAGGAGGUGAGUGCCCUGCAGGCGCUGCCGAUCGACGUGCAGCUGAACAUCAUGUCCUUCCUCUCACCCCAAGAUCUGUGCCAUUUGGGAAGCACGAGUUGUUAUUGGAGGGCGACUGUGCAGGAUCCGUUGUUGUGGAGGUAUUUUCUCCUGAGGGAUCUCCCCUUCUGGACAUCAGUCGAUUGGAAAUCACUCCCAGAUGUGGAGAUUUUUAAUAAAACCUUUUCAGAGGACAGUGAUAAUGCGCUGUAUGAUUACAUGGCAGUAUAUAAAAAAAGCUGUCCUCAGAGUAGAAGAAGUUUGAAAUCAAGCCGCCCACGCUAUGGGGCUGUCGCUUCCUUUUUGCAAUCACUGGUCACUCAGGCAGAACCUCGCUUUGCGAUGUUUGGUCCAGGUUUGGAAGAGCUGGACAACUCGUUAGUGCAAAAGAUGAUGACAUGCCCAGAAAUUCUGCUAGUAGCCGGCCUACUACAAAGACAAAUUCAUGGAAUUGGAUCAGGAGUCAGUUUUCAGUUUAAUAACAAUAAAAAAUUCAAUAUUCUGACAUUGUAUUCCACUACCAGUGUGGAAAGGAGGAGAGCAAGGGAAGAGCAAGCUGUUGCUGUGAAUAAGAUGUUCUACCAAGAGAACAGCAUAGUAGGGAAUCAGCAAGCCAUGCGCUACAGUGUCAUAGCUCAAGUUAAAAAGGUGUGCGAAGUAGUUGAUGGAUUCAUUUAUGUUGCUAAUGCAGAAGCUCAUAAAAAGCAUGAUCGUCAAGAGGAACUGGCUCGUAUUUUGGCAAUGAUUGAUCCAGCCCUUGGGCCUCCAAACAGACCUCUGCUAGUUUUGUCGUGUGUCUCUCACAUUGAUGUGAACAGAAUUCCGUGUGUUUACAUGGCACAUCAGUUGCAACUAAAUCUGCUACGUCAGCCCUGGAUGGUACUUACUUUUAAAUCUUUAUUUUCUGUUUCUUUAUGGCUUAAAUUUAAUUUAGGAUUGUGGUAGUUCCUGAACUGUGCCUACCUAAGCAAGUGUGCAGCUUUCAACACUAGUACGUGAGCUCUCCACUUAAGUGAAGAAUUCGGCUUCUCUGGUCCUCUAAGGUGAAGCGUUAGCCUAUCUGAACAUAGGGGAGCUAAGUGCCUUGCCCAGGAACACACAAGAAACUUCAGAUGGAGCCAGAAUGUAAGGAAGGAUGAAAUGCUGGUCUUGAAGGGUGUAAGGACACUUCAGUUAAUUUAAAUCUAAGUUUCCUGAGUCACGACCCAAGGCCUUGGACACAAGGUGCAGGACACAGUAGCUGCAACUUUAGCUGGAUUAAUGAAUGGAAUUGAGUGGCUCCUGGAAGAAGUGAAUUGUAAAAAUGCACAGUAAUGGAACCAUGCAUUGUUUUACUGUAUAGACUUCGAUGUUUUGAUGUUCAGAUGAAGUGAGAAUCAUGUCCUGACAGAGUACUGUCAGAAGGGAGAUUUUAAAGGCAAACCUGCAUAUAUUUCACUGCACAUACUUUAAUAAUUAAUAUUCUUCCAACUGUAGUCCUGAAUUGAAGUACAAGUAGGAUUCCCUGGAUUCCAGCAGCUGAUGAAGAACUGAUUUUGGGGGCCACUUGGGGUGUUUUGUUUUUCUUUCUUUCAAUCUGGGGCCUUUAGGGUGCAAUCUUUUCUCAGUAUAUCUGAUAAUCUAAUCUCUUCUGUAAAUAUACCUAACACUGGGUUAGUUUAUCAGCACAGCCGUAUGGCACACAUCCCACAUUUAGUAAGUAUAUUCAGUGGAGAUCUUGACAGUGACAGUUCCCGAUCAAAGUAAAUAUAGUGUACGUUGUACAGUAGUAGGUUGACAAAAAGACAGUACCUCUUUCAAAAGAGUAAAUUCCCCUGUAUUUUUUCCAGAAAUAAUGCCUAGGCAAGAAAUAGCACCCGUGGGAGAAUUGUCAGUCCAGACCAAAAUUCUUAGAAACAAACAAACAAACUGACGUGUAUGAAUUCGUUGUUUCUUGUUUGUGAUCUUACUUGUUAACCAACCACAAAAGACUUCAGCAUCUUCUGCUUUCUGUUGCCAUGAAAUUAUUAGCUUGAACUGGAUGUACCUCUGAUGUCAUGAAUGAAUGUUAAAUAGAAUUGUUAUUAUUUCAGGACAUUUAUUGAAUAUUUAGAACCUAUCUGUUACUCAAAUCCUCAUGGCUGUUUACAGAUGUGCAGAGUACUUGGUGUAAAAUUUUCUACACAGUUGCAAAUACUUUUAUAAAAAGGGAAAAAAUAUUUUAGAGCUGGAAUUGCAUUUUCUAUACUGAUGUCAUUUGGGAUAGUCCUAGUCUUCCACCUUUUUAGUGUUUUUAAUUAUUGGAUGAAUGUUCAGAAACUUCCCUUGGAUUUCUUGCCUGUGUAUGUAUUUGUUUUGUUCUGGGUUUUGGGUUGUUUUUUUUCCCCUCUUUCUCCAUGGAAAUGCAAUAGUUUCACAAUUUUAUCUUGGUACCUAGAUAAAUGACUACAUGGUGCACAUUCAGAUGUAACUGCCCUCAAUCUGGUAUAUGUGUGUGAUGCUUAACACAGCUAUGUCAGAAACAUUCCAUUUGAGAAAGUUUUUUUAUUUUUUAAUGAACUAGGACACACACAGGAAGUGUCUUUAUUUUUUUUCAUCUUUAUCCACAAUUAACUCAGCUUUCUAGAUGUUUUUGUAUAUCUUCUGAUCUUUGGGAGUUUCUAAACUUUGUGACUUUCAAGUGAAAAUCGAUGGGAAUACAAUUUUUUUUAACAAGGUAUGUGUGCUUUGCCCAUUAAAAUAGAGAAGACACAAAAGAUUUAUGAGUAUUUGGGGGAAAAUUCCACACUUUGUGACUGGGUGUAUGUGACUUGCCUACUAGUCGUAAUAAUUCCACAGUGAACUAUCUGUAAAGGGUUGGAUGCAGCAACCUGUUGGUAUGUUAGCUGCUACAAAGACGGGGGUUUUAUGCAAGAUCCUCGUUCUGCUUUCUUCAUAAGGAAUAAAUCAUUUUUUAAAGAAUAAUAUUUACACUCUUUCUUUGUGUGUUAAGCCCCUCUGCAUCCAAGCACAUACUGUGUGCACACACACAUGUCUGCAGUCAUGCUGUCAUAACAGAUAACAAAUUAUUAUUGUCAUUAUUAUUCAUUAAUGAACAAUGCUAUUGUAUGUUAUCUGUUUAAUUAACAGAUGAUAAUUAACUCUUAUUCUACAAGGUCAAGGUAAUGUAGGGAAUAUAAUUUUUUUUUUAACCUAAGGAACACCAGUUAUAUUGACUUAAAGAUAGGAUAACUUAAAGAAUUAAGAAUUACAAGUUUUAAGGAUGCAGCCUGGGAGACACACAGUGGGAAUUAGAAAUCCGUGCAGUCCCAGAGCUCCAGCCUCACAGAAAUCGCAGAGAUGGUGGUGGAGUUGCUUGUAUGGCUGAGUGCUGCGGUGGAUCAAUACAGGCAAGGAAGAUGAGAGUGUACGCUGUGCAAAGGAAGGAACAGCUUAGAUGCACAGAGGUAUGCCAUGGAAGAGGCAACUAGGCUGUUGAGAAUUCAUAUGCCAAAUGGUUGCAGAGAAGCACUACGGAUUUAAUUUACCACUACCUUUUAGAUUUCAGCUAAA